AGUCGAACGGUAGUUGUGUUAGAAAACUAGAAACUAGAUACAAAGCGAGCGGCGGACGGGUGAGUAACACGUGGGUAACCUGCCCCAAGAGACUGGGAUAACACCUGGAAACAGAUGCUAAUACCGGAUAACAACACUAGACGCAUGUCUAGAGUUUGAAAGAUGGUUCUGCUAUCACUCUUGGAUGGACCUGCGGUGCAUUAGCUAGUUGGUAAGGUAACGGCUUACCAAGGCAAUGAUGCAUAGCCGAGUUGAGAGACUGAUCGGCCACAUUGGGACUGAGACACGGCCCAAACUCCUACGGGAGGCAGCAGUAGGGAAUCUUCCACAAUGGACGAAAGUCUGAUGGAGCAACGCCGCGUGAGUGAAGAAGGGUUUCGGCUCGUAAAGCUCUGUUGGUAGUGAAGAAAGAUAGAGGUAGUAACUGGCCUUUAUUUGACGGUAAUUACUUAGAAAGUCACGGCUAACUACGUGCCAGCAGCCGCGGUAA
rnacentral:rRNA from 1 species